GUGCCAGCAGCCGCGGUAAUACGGGGGGAGCGAGCGUUGUCCGGAAUCACUGGGCGUAAAGGGUGUGUAGGCGUCCCGGUAAGUCUCUGGUGAAAGCCUUCCGCUCAACGGAAGAAUUGCCAGAGAUACUGUCGGGAUUGAGUCCGGGAGAGGGGAGCGGAAUUCCUGGUGUAGCGGUGAAAUGCGUAGAUAUCAGGAAGAACGCCAGAGGCGAAGGCGGCUCCCUAGCCCGGUACUGACGCUGAGGCACGAAAGCGUGGGGAGCGAACGGGAUUAGAUACCCCGGUAGUCCACGCCCUAAACGAUGGAUGCUAGGUGUUGGAUCCGAGAGGAUUCAGCGCCGAAGCUAACGCGUUAAGCAUCCCGCCUGGGGAUUACGACCGCAAGGUUAAAACUUAAAGGAAUUGGCGGGG
rnacentral:rRNA from 1 species